rnacentral:rRNA from 1 species
CGUAACAAGGUCUCCGUUGGUGAACCAGCGGAGGGAUCAUUACCGAGUUUACAACUCCCAAACCCCUGUGAACAUACCAAUUGUUGCCUCGGCGGAUCAGCCCGCUCCCGGUAAAACGGGACGGCCCGCCAGAGGACCCCUAAACUCUGUUUCUAUAUGUAACUUCUGAGUAAAACCAUAAAUAAAUCAAAACUUUCAACAACGGAUCUCUUGGUUCUGGCAUCGAUGAAGAACGCAGCAAAAUGCGAUAAGUAAUGUGAAUUGCAGAAUUCAGUGAAUCAUCGAAUCUUUGAACGCACAUUGCGCCCGCCAGUAUUCUGGCGGGCAUGCCUGUUCGAGCGUCAUUUCAACCCUCAAGCCCAGCUUGGUGUUGGGACUCGCGAGUUAAAUCGCGUUCCCCAAAUUGAUUGGCGGUCACGUCGAGCUUCCAUAGCGUAGUAGUAAAACCCUCGUUACUGGUAAUCGUCGCGGCCACGCCGUUAAACCCCAACUUCUGAAUGUUGACCUCGGAUCAGGUAGGAAUACCCGCUGAACUUAAGCAUAUCAAUA